rnacentral:rRNA from 1 species
GUCUAAGGCCACAUCACCCUGAAUGCACCUGAUCUUGUCUGAUCUCAGAAGCUAAGCAGGGUCAGGCUUUGUUAGUACUUUGAUGGGAGAAAGAUCUUCAGGCAAGACAAGCAGUUUGGAGA